rnacentral:rRNA from 1 species
GGGCAAAGGGCAGCUACACAUGCAGUCGAGCGGAACGAGUUAUCUGAACCUUCGGGGGACGAUAACGGCGUCGAGCGGCGGACGGGUGAGUAAUGCCUAGGAAAUUGCCCUGAUGUGGGGGAUAACCAUUGGAAACGAUGGCUAAUACCGCAUGAUGCCUACGGGCCAAAGAGGGGGACCUUCGGGCCUCUCGCGUCAGGAUAUGCCUAGGUGGGAUUAGCUAGUUGGUGAGGUAAGGGCUCACCAAGGCGACGAUCCCUAGCUGGUCUGAGAGGAUGAUCAGCCACACUGGAACUGAGACACGGUCCAGACUCCUACGGGAGGCAGCAGUGGGGAAUAUUGCACAAUGGGCGCAAGCCUGAUGCAGCCAUGCCGCGUGUGUGAAGAAGGCCUUCGGGUUGUAAAGCACUUUCAGUCGUGAGGAAGGUAGUGUAGUUAAUAGCUGCAUUAUUUGACGUUAGCGACAGAAGAAGCACCGGCUAACUCUGUGCCAACAGCCGC